GAGUUUGAUCAUGGCUCAGAUUGAACGCUGGCGGAAUGCUUUACACAUGCAAGUCGAGGGGCAGCGCGGGUAGCAAUACUUGGCGGCGACCGGCGCACGGGUGCGUAACACGUAUACAAUCUGCCUUUAACAGGGGGAUAGCCCGGAGAAAUCCGGAUUAAUACCCCAUAAUAUAUUGAGUGGCAUCACUUGAUAUUGAAAGCUCCGGCGGUUAGAGAUGAGUAUGCGCCUGAUUAGUUAGUUGGUGAGGUAACGGCUCACCAAGACUUCGAUCAGUAGGGGAUCUGAGAGGACUACCCCCCACACGGAUACUGAGACACGGAUCCGACUCCUACGGGAGGCAGCAGUAAGGAAUAUUGGACAAUGCCCGCAAGGGUGAUCCAGCCAUGCCGCGUGCAGGAAGACGGCCCUAUGGGUUGUAAACUGCUUUUACACCGGAGAAAACCCCUUCUCGUGAGGAGGGCUGAUAGUAUGGUGAGAAUAAGCAUCGGCUAACUUCGUGCCAGCC
rnacentral:rRNA from 1 species